GCCUUCUUCUCUUUUGUGAUUGUCGAUACUGGUUGCUCAGAGACAGACAUAGAGAGACAUCUUGGUCGAUUGUGAAGGAGAAGGAGAAAGAGAUCAUCAAAGCUUUGUGUUAGAGAGAAGGAGAAGGAGAGCUUUGUGUUAGAGAGAAGGAGAAAGAGCAAAAUCGUUAGGAUUUCGACGUAUCAAAUCGUACUCAAAGUUUCGUGAGACACGUUUUCUCAUAUGCGAGUUAGACCAUCGAGGAUUGUAACUGAGAUCGUGGUCUCUUCUGGUUUUUGAUCGGUACGAGAUUUUGUGGGAAGCUUUAUGACGUCUAUGGCUAGCGUUUAACCAAAGGGAUUUGAUAGUUAACGGACGUUUAUGGACUGUUGCAGACGCAAGGAGAGUUUCUCCUGAUUGUUUUUGUUUUUAGAUUCACUU